UUUUGCUUUAAUUUUUUUAAAUUUACAAAUAGCCAAAAUAACAUGAUGGUGUCAAGCUGGAACCGAAUUGAUCACAAAAAGAAACAGGCACAAUUACAUCCUGAAAGAAUACACGCAUCCAAGAAAGCCCAAUACACCAGAAAAAGGAAGAUGCAUGGUAACAUAACAAAUCCCACUGAAGCUAAAUUUCAAAAACCCAAUUUGAA
rnacentral:misc_RNA from 1 species